AUUGAACGCUGGCGGCAGGCCUAACACAUGCAAGUCGAACGGUAACAGGAAGAAGCUUGCUUCUUUGCUGACGAGUGGCGGACGGGUGAGUAAUGUCUGGGAAACUGCCUGAUGGAGGGGGAUAACUACUGGAAACGGUAGCUAAUACCGCAUAACGUCGCAAGACCAAAGAGGGGGACCUUCGGGCCUCUUGCCAUCGGAUGUGCCCAGAUGGGAUUAGCUAGUAGGUGGGGUAACGGCUCACCUAGGCGACGAUCCCUAGCUGGUCUGAGAGGAUGACCAGCCACACUGGAACUGAGACACGGUCCAGACUCCUACGGGAGGCAGCAGUGGGGAAUAUUGCACAAUGGGCGCAAGCCUGAUGCAGCCAUGCCGCGUGUAUGAAGAAGGCCUUCGGGUUGUAAAGUACUUUCAGCGGGGAGGAAGGGAGUAAAGUUAAUACCUUGGCUAAUUGACGUUACCCGCAGAAGAAGCACCGGCUAACUCCGUG
rnacentral:rRNA from 1 species